rnacentral:rRNA from 1 species
UACGGAGGGUGCAAGCGUUAUCCGGAAUCAUUGGGUUUAAAGGGUCCGCAGGCGGAAAUGUAAGUCAGGGGUGAAAUCCGGCAGCUCAACUGUCGCAUUGCCUUUGAUACUGUGUUUCUUGAAUUUUAAUGGAGUGGGCGGAAUAUGUCAUGUAGCGGUGAAAUGCUUAGAUAUGACAUGGAACACCGAUAGCGAAGGCAGCUCACUAAUUAUGAAUUGACGCUCAUGGACGAAAGCGUGGGUAGCAAACAGGAUUAGAUACCCUGGUAGUCCACGCCGUAAACGAUGAUUACUCGUUGUCGGGUUUUCGAACUCGGUGACUAAGCGAAAGUGAUAAGUAAUCCACCUGGGGAGUACGAUCGCAAGGUUGAA